UUAAAACAUCUCUUUGAAGCUGGGCCUUGCGCCUAAACCUGCAUAUUCCUACAACUUCUCAGAGUCCUUCGGGAUAUGACUGAGGAGAUAAACCAUGCAGGAAACAAUU
rnacentral:snoRNA from 1 species